CCUCCUCUCUUUUUUUUUUUCUCCUCUUCUAUUUUUCCUCACCACCUCAUUCUCAAAGAAUUGAAUUUCAUAUAAAGCUAUAUAUUUUUAUUUCUGAUGGAAAUAGCAAAUACUAUAUUAAUUGAUUUUUAUUAUGUCACAAUCGAAUGAGAGAAUUGACUAUAAUGAUAUGACAAGUUUUACUCUUUAGAUACGAGAUGUGUUGUAAUA
rnacentral:lncRNA from 1 species